GAUCCUGGCUCAGGAUGAACGCUGGCGGCGUGCCUAACACAUGCAAGUCGAGCGAAGCACUUUGCUUAGAUUCUUCGGAUGAAGAGGAUUGCGACUGAGCGGCGGACGGGUGAGUAACGCGUGGGUAACCUGCCUCAUACAGGGGGGUAACAGUUAGAAAUGACUGCUAAUACCGCAUAAGACCACAGCACCGCAUGGUGCGGGGGUAAAAACUCCGGUGGUAUGAGAUGGACCCGCG
rnacentral:rRNA from 1 species